GCCUGGGUGGCUCAGUCGGUUGAGCGUCUGACUUCAGCUCAGGUCAUGAUCUCACAGUCGGUAAGUUCGAGCCCUGCUUCAGGCU
rnacentral:tRNA from 1 species